GAUGAACGCUGGCGGUAUGCUUUACACAUGCAAGUCGUACGAGAGUUUUUAACUCAAGUGGCGGACGGGUGAGUAACACGUAAGAAUUUGCCUUUAGGAGGGGGAUAACGACUGGAAACGGUUGCUAAUACCCCAUAUGCUUUCGAGUGAAAUGGAUUUUCCGCCUAAAGAGAAGCUUGCGCCUGAUUAGCUUGUUGGUGAGGUAAUAGCUCACCAAGGCGACGAUCAGUAUCUGGUUUGAGAGGACGAUCAGACACACUGGAACUGAGACACGGUCCAGACUCCUACGGGUGGCAG
rnacentral:rRNA from 1 species